rnacentral:rRNA from 1 species
AGAAUCUUUCGCAAUGCCCGAAAGGGUGACGAAGCGACGCCGCGUGUGGGAAGAAGGCCUUCGGGUUGUAAACCACUGUCGGGAGUUAAGAAAUGUAAGGAUGUUAAUAGCGUCCUUACUUGACUAAGGCUCCGGAGGAAGCCACGGCUAACUCUGUUCCAGCAGCCGCGGUAAUACAGAGGCGGCAAGCGUUGUUCGGAAUUAUUGGGCGUAAAGAGCACGUAGGCGGCCUUGAAAGUCAGUUGUGAAAGCCUUCUGCUUAACGGAAGAACAGCAUCUGAUACUACAGGGCUUGAGUGCGGGAGGGGAGAGUGGAACUUCUGGUGGAGCGGUGAAAUGCGUAGAUAUCAGAAGGAACGCCGGCGGCGAAAGCGGCUCUCUGGCUCGUAGCUGACGCUGAGUGUGCGAAAGCUAGGGGAUCAAACGGGAUUAGAUACCCCGGUAGUCCUAGCCGUAAACGAUGGGCACUAAGUAGAGGGGUUUUGAUUAUCUCUCUGCCGGAGCUAACGCAUUAAGUGCCCCGCCUGGGAAGUACGGCCGCAAGGCUAAAACUCAAAAGAAUUGACGGGGGCUCGCACAAGCGGUGGAGCAUGUGGCUUAAUUCGAUGCAACGCGAAGAACCUUACCGGGGUUUGACAUGGUAGAAGUAGGAACCAGAAACGGUAACGAACGGUAUCCAGUCCGUAACUAUCACAGGUGUUGCAUGGCUG